AUACCAUGCAAGUCGAACGGAAGGCCCUUCGGGGUACUCGAGUGGCGAACGGGUGAGUAACACGUGGGUGAUCUGCCCUGCACUUUGGGAUAAGCCUGGGAAACUGGGUCUAAUACCGAAUAUGACUGCACGCUUCCUGGUGUGUGGUGGAAAGCUUUUGCGGUGUGGGAUGGGCCCGCGGCCUAUCAGCUUGUUGGUGGGGUAAUGGCCUACCAAGGCGACGACGGGUAGCCGGCCUGAGAGGGUGACCGGCCACACUGGGACUGAGAUACGGCCCAGACUCCUACGGGAGGCAGCAGUGGGGAAUAUUGCACAAUGGGCGCAAGCCUGAUGCAGCGACGCCGCGUGAGGGAUGACGGCCUUCGGGUUGUAAACCUCUUUCAGCACAGACGAAGCGCAAGUGACGGUAUGUGCAGAAGAAGGACCGGCCAACUACGUGCCAGCAGCCGCGGUAAUACGUAGGGUCCGAGCGUUGUCCGGAAUUACUGGGCGUAAAGAGCUCGUAGGUGGUUUGUCGCGUUGUUCGUGAAAACUCACAGCUUAACUGUGGGCGUGCGGGCGAUACGGGCAGACUUGAGUACUGCAGGGGAGACUGGAAUUCCUGGUGUAGCGGUGGAAUGCGCAGAUAUCAGGAGGAACACCGGUGGCGAAGGCGGGUCUCUGGGCAGUAACUGACGCUGAGGAGCGAAAGCGUGGGGAGCGAACAGGAUUAGAUACCCUGGUAGUCCACGCCGUAAACGGUGGGUACUAGGUGUGGGUUUCCUUCCUUGGGAUCCGUGCCGUAGCUAACGCAUUAAGUACCCCGCCUGGGGAGUACGGCCGCAAGGCUAAAACUCAAAGAAAUUGACGGGGGCCCGCACAAGCGGCGGAGCAUGUGGAUUAAUUCGAUGCAACGCGAAGAACCUUACCUGGGUUUGACAUGCACAGGACGCCAGUAGAGAUAUUGGUUCCCUUGUGGCCUGUGUGCAGGUGGUGCAUGGCUGUCGUCAGCUCGUGUCGUGAGAUGUUGGGUUAAGUCCCGCAACGAGCGCAACCCUUGUCCUAUGUUGCCAGCGGGUUAUGCCGGGGACUCGUAGGAGACUGCCGGGGUCAACUCGGAGGAAGGUGGGGAUGACGUCAAGUCAUCAUGCCCCUUAUGUCCAGGGCUUCACACAUGCUACAAUGGCCGGUACAAAGGGCUGCGAUGCCGUGAGGUGGAGCGAAUCCUUUCAAAGCCGGUCUCAGUUCGGAUCGGGGUCUGCAACUCGACCCCGUGAAGUCGGAGUCGCUAGUAAUCGCAGAUCAGCAACGCUGCGGUGAAUACGUUCCCGGGCCUUGUACACACCGCCCGUCACGUCAUGAAAGUCGGUAACACCCGAAGCCGGUGGCCUAACCCUUCUGGGAGGGAGCCGUUUAAGGAGA
rnacentral:rRNA from 1 species